rnacentral:rRNA from 1 species
AUGGCUCUUGGGCGGCUUGCCUCCAGGGUGCGCGGCUCGGCUCUGCAGGUGCGGGCUGCGGCUCCCCGCGCCUCGCCGCCGGCACCCUGCCCAUGCGUUCGUCCGAUGACCUACAGCAGCAAGCCCGUGCAGGGUGAGCAGCAGGGCAAGGGACCUUCAAGGCCAAUUGACCUCCUGCGUGAGUCCAAAUGGAGGAAUGCCAAGGACGAUGGCGCUGGCAUCCAUACCUCUGCUCCGCGUGUGCCUCAACCUGCGCCCCGCACAACCCCACUGGCCGGUGGUCAGCCCGUGUCCUGCAGGAGCAUAUCAUCGGAGGUCAGUUCUUUGCUCCCUUCCUCCCUCACUGAUGCGUAG